CUCCUCGACAAGUGGACGAGCAUCUACUGUGCUUUCACAGCGGCUAUCACUAUUGCCAGCAGCAAGACUGUCAGCUCGGCGCCCUCGUCUGGUUGGAUGGGAAACUGCAGUUGCUAAGGGAGCUGGGUUUGAAUCUCUGAGGACAAAUGGGAAUUCUCACUGAUUUCUAGGACUACCCUGGGGCAGAGAUGGAGUUUCAUCACAUUGCCUAGGCUGGUCUCGAAAUCCUGGACUCAAGUGAUCUGCUGGCCUCAGCCUCCCUAACUGCUGGGACUAGAGGCCUGAGCGACCACCCCUGGCUGUAAACAUUUUCUUAGCUCAAGGAUUGCUGAAUUUGUAUCCAUUUUCUUCUCUCCUAUCUCAAUUGAGUGGGUGAAAUGAUACUGUUAAUUAUUUUCUGUUACUUUUGAAUGCUUCUUUGUGGCGAACUGAGGGCAUAGUAAUACUGUAGCAGCUAAC
rnacentral:antisense_RNA from 1 species